UACGUAGGUGGCAAGCGUUGUCCGGAAUUAUUGGGCGUAAAGCGUGCGCAGGCGGUUCGCUGUGUCCGAUGUGAAAGCCCCGGGCUUAACCUGGGAAUGGCAUUGGAAACUGGCGGGCUUGAGUGUGGCAGAGGGGGGUGGAAUUCCGCGUGUAGCAGUGAAAUGCGUAGAGAUGCGGAGGAACACCGAUGGCGAAGGCAGCCCCCUGGGCUAACACUGACGCUCAGGCACGAAAGCGUGGGGAGCAAACAGG
rnacentral:rRNA from 1 species